rnacentral:rRNA from 1 species
GACGAACGCUGGCGGCGUGCUUAACACAUGCAAGUCGAACGGUAAGGCCCUUCGGGGUACACGAGUGGCGAAAGGGUGAGUAACACGUGGGUGAUCUGCCCUGCACUUCGGGAUAAGCCUGGGAAACUGGGUCUAAUACCGGAUAGGACCACUGCCUGCAUGGGUGGUGGCGGAAAGCUUUUGCGGUGUGGGAUGGGCCCGCGGGCUAUCAGCUUGUUGGUGGGGUGAUGGCCUACCAAGGCGACGACGGGUAGCCGGCCUGAGAGGGUGACCUGCCACACUGGGACUGAGAUACUGCCCAGGCUCCUACGGUAAGCAGCAGUGGGGAAUAUUGCACAAUGGGCGCAAGCCUGAUGCAGCGACGCCGCGUGAGGGAUGACGGCCUUCGGGUUGUAAACCUCUUUCAGCAUCGAGGAAGCGCAAGUGACGGUAGGUGCAGAAGAAGGACCGGCCAACUACGUGCCAGCCGCCGCAGUAA